rnacentral:lncRNA from 1 species
UACUGGGUGUUAUUGUAAGUGAUGAAUCCCUAAAUUCUGAAACCCAUACUGCACUGUAUGUUAACUAACUAGAAUUUAAAUAACAAUCUGGGAGUCUGGGGAAUAGGCUAUAAAAAUCCUUAAAGUCUUAGUAAAGUCCAGUUUCACUGACAUCAUUAAAGAUAAGGCUCAGAGACAAUAAAGUUACUUAAAGUUGGGGGGAAAAAAGGAAACCUUACGGUGAAUUUUUUAAAAUAUCUGAUUCUGUGGUCUUACCCUUGUGCUUUUGGUUCAGUAUUUCUUGGAAAGAACCAGAUCUCUGCAUACCUAAAAUAAUCCUUAAGCAUUCAGGCAUUCAGUUGACUAAUUUUUGAAGUAUGUUUCUACACCCACAUAUACUGAAUGUCCUUUCUUCUUUGCUGAAAAAUGAGCUGGGAAUGUGUUCUGGAAGAGAAGCAGAACAUGUUUUGUUUUUCUUCAUAAAUAGAAAUCUUUUCUUAAACUGAAUAUCAUCUCUAUCAUCUCUUUCCAGGGGAAAGAUCCCUGGACUGUGGAAAGUGAAGUGAAUAUAGGAGAACAUCCAGACAGGAAGCCCUUCAGCUGGAUUUGUAAUCAAGGAAUUAUCACCAAUAGAGGACAUAAUAAAGGAGAAUUGUGCCACCUGGUAAUACUGGAGAGAAAUGAAAGUCAUGGCAUCCAGGAUUUUGAUCUCAAGGAAGUCUGGGAAAAUAUGCAUGAGUUAGAGACUCAGUGGGAGUAUGAUGCAAGAAUUACAAAGAAGUGCCUUUGACCCAUGACAAAAAUCUCACUUGUGGAAAAGACUGGCAACUUAAUCAGUCCUCAGUUACUCUUCCUGAAAAGCAGAGUGUUUCUGUAAGAAAUAAUAUGUACCAGUAUUUCAUGCCUGAGGAGCCAUUUAUGAGGAAUUCGUUAAAACUGGGUGGUAACAGAAGUGGUUCUGGAACCAGUACAUAA